rnacentral:pre_miRNA from 1 species
UGAUCACCUCUAUUGUUGCUUUUGUGGGCACUCAAAGGAAAGCAAUGGGAGGGUCGGUCUGA